rnacentral:lncRNA from 10 species
AAGGAUAUGUAGACUACAAGAAAAAGUGGUGGCUAAUGAGAACUUUCAACCGGACAGCAGUAAAUAGGAGUGAAAGAUUGGAAAAGCCAAGACACAAAACCAUUUGUGUUGCAGAGUUGAGGAAAGGCUCUAAAAUCAAAAGCAUGAGAUUCCUCUUGUGGCUGGUGAAUGAUUGAAGUGAGGAAAGAGAAGCACUGCUGGAAUUGAAGAAUUGGUUAAAGCAAUACAUGAGAAGUUGGUUGGGCUUUGGAUAACCAUCACCACACAACGCAGCCAGGAAAUUAUUCUCUCCUCAGUCUAAGAGGAUCCAUGGCGUUUACUCUCUGAAGACGUUGAAUCAGACUGCCUGGGAAUUAAGUGACAGGAGGCUGAGUUUGUGGGGAUGUCUUAUGCCUUACUGAAACUGAUGGGAUAAGUGGAAAUCUGCUUGAUGAAAGGAAACUGCAGAGAAGAGAAUAAUUUGCAACCCAUUCUUCUGAGGCCCAAAUUAACUCAAUACCAACACAACAUAAGGACACUAUAAGAAAACUUGAAGAAGAUGAAGUUUCUUCUUCAUUGAAAGAAAAUAAAGGUCACGUCUGUGAUCAUCGUUCGAGACCAAGUACCAAAGAAAACAGCAACAUCUGGCUGAAGGAGGCUUCUUCUGAGAUGGCAACAGGCAACUGCAGAAGAGAGG